AUGGGUGUAGCUAAGACACCGGCGGUGCUUUGGUUACUUGGGGCGGUGUUAGUGCUGGGAGUUUCCGUUAGCCCUGCUCAGGGCGCCAAGACUCGCUACCACGAUUUCUUUAUUAAGGAGAGCAACUACACAAGGCUCUGCAAGGAGAGGACCGUCCUCACCGUCAACGGGCAGUUCCCUGGCCCUACCAUCUACGCGCGCAAGGGCGACCUCGUCAUCGUCAAUGUCUACAAUCAAGGCGAUAAAAACAUCACCAUCCACUGGCAUGGUGUGGACCAGCCACGCAACCCGUGGUCAGACGGGCCUGAGUACAUUACCCAGUGUCCCAUCCGCCCCGGCGGCAACUUCACCUACCGGGUUAUCUUGUCCGAGGAAGAGGGCACACUUUGGUGGCACGCACACAGCGACUUCGACCGCACCACAAUCCAUGGCGCCAUUGUCAUCCACCCCAAGCUCGGAACCACCUUCCCCUUCGUGAAGCCACACAAGGAGAUACCCGUCAUCCUCGGUGAGUGGUGGAAUGCCGAUGUGAACCAUCUACUCGAGGAGGCGGAGAGGAUCGGCGGCGAGAUCAACAUCUCGGACGCGAACACCAUCAACGGCCAGCCGGGGGACCUGUUCCCGUGCUCCAAGGCCGGCACCUACAAGAUACCGGUGCAGCACGGCAAGACGUACCUGCUCCGGAUCAUCAACGCGGGGCUCUCCAACGACCUCUUCUUCAGCGUCGCCGGGCACAACCUCACCGUGGUCGGCACCGACGGCCACUACACUAAGCCGUUCGCCGUCAAGCACAUCAUGAUCGCGCCAGGUCAAACCAUGGACGCGCUUCUUGAGGCCAACCGCGGCGAUGGCGGCCGGUACUACAUGGCCGCGAGGACGUUCGCGUCCAACCCCAACAUCGAGGUCAACAACAGCACCGCCACCGCCAUCGUGGAAUACAUGGACGACGCACCGGGACGUACGGCCCCGCCGGAGUUCCCUACCAACCUUCCGGGCGUCAACGACAUCGACUCAGCGACGGCGUACACGGCGCAGCUCCGGUCCCUGGGCAGCAAGGACCACCCAGUGGACGUGCCGAGGCAGGUCGACGAGCACAUGCUCGUCACCAUCGCCGUCAACGUGCUCCCCUGCGCACCCAACGAGACGUGCGGGGGGCCCGACGGCAACCGCCAAGCGGCGAGCCUCAACAACGUCAGCUUCGUGAACCCGUCCGUCGACAUCCUCGGCGCCUACUACCGCUCCGUCCGUGGCGUGUUCGACGCAGACUUCCCCAACAAGCCGCCCUUCUUCUUCAACUUCACGGACGUCGACAACGACCCCGUCGAGCGCUGGGCCACCAAGCGCGGCACCAAGGUGAAGGUGGUGGAGUACGGCGCCGUCGUGGAGGUGGUGUUCCAGGACACCUCCAUCCUUGGCGCCGAGAACCACCCCAUGCACCUGCACGGCUUCACUUUCUACGUGGUAGGGAGAGGGUUCGGGAAUUUUGACGAGCAGAAGGACCCGGCCACCUAUAACUUGGUCGACCCGCCGCACCAGAACACCGUCUCCGUGCCCAAAGCUGGCUGGGCAGCUAUCCGAUUCCGCGCGGCGAAUCCAGGUGUCUGGUUCAUGCAUUGCCAUUUUGAUCGCCAUGUGGUGUGGGGAAUGAGCACCGUCUUCAUAGUGAAGGAUGGCAAGGCUCCUGAAGCUAAAAUGAUGCCUCCGCCUCCCAACAUGCCUACCUGCUAA
rnacentral:rRNA from 1 species